rnacentral:rRNA from 1 species
UAACUUCGGGAAACCGGAAGCUAAUACCGGAUAAUAUAUUGAACCGCAUGGUUCAAUAGUGAAAGACGGUUUUGCUGUCACUUAUAGAUGGAUCCGCGCCGCAUUAGCUAGUUGGUAAGGUAACGGCUUACCAAGGCAACGAUGCGUAGCCGACCUGAGAGGGUGAUCGGCCACACUGGAACUGAGACACGGUCCAGACUCCUACGGGAGGCAGCAGCC